rnacentral:tRNA from 1 species
GGGUCGUUAGCUCAGUUGGUAGAGCAGAUCUGACUUUUAAUCAAUUGGUCGCAGGUUCGAAUCCUGCACGACCCA